rnacentral:misc_RNA from 1 species
AUAUAUAUCAACCCUUUCUCUUGUUGAAUGGGUUUGGAUGUGGGGGUUUUUUGCUGGCCUUGGGUUCAGCUCUCCUGAAAUGCAUUAGCAGAACAACCUGUUCAUUGGUGUGAUAAAGUAUCUACACUAUUGAAUGUGAAGGAAGUUCAGCUUUCUAAUAGUCCUUUGGACAAUUUAUCAUUU